AUAUAGUAGAAGAUGCAUUCUAGCAAUCACAAUUGUAAGAACAGGAAAGAAAGCUGUGCUUCCAACUGCGUUUUUAGAAUUCUUUCAGGUACGCUUAUGCUCUCAGUGUCUGUGGACCAUGAGUAGUUGUAUAGGUAUGUGGGAAUUAUGACAUCUUCCAGUCUGCCCACAUAGAGCAUCAUACAAAUCAUACAAGCAUCAUGCCCAUAUACCUUGUAGGAAAGGGCUGUACUGCAUAUCAUCCAUUUGCUCUUUUGCUCUUCCAGAUCCCCCCUCC
rnacentral:lncRNA from 10 species